GCACUGCUGAGGAGUCCCACAACAGGACGAAACGGCCGUUCAGUAU
rnacentral:hammerhead_ribozyme from 1 species